rnacentral:rRNA from 1 species
GAUGAACGCUGGCGGUAUGCUUAACACAUGCAAGUCGAACGGGAUUCUUCGGAAUCUAGUGGCGGACGGGUGAGUAACGCGUGAGAAUCUGCCUUCAGGUCGGGGACAACAUUUGGAAACGAAUGCUAAUACCCGAUGUGCCGCGAGGUGAAAGGUUAACUGCCUGAAGAUGAGCUCGCGUCCGAUUAGCUAGUUGGUGGUGUAAAGGACUACCAAGGCGACGAUCGGUAGCUGGUUUGAGAGGACAAUCAGCCACACUGGGACUGAGACACGGCCCAGACUCCUACGGGAGGCAGCAGUGGGGAAUUUUCCGCAAUGGGCGAAAGCCUGACGGAGCAAUACCACGUGAGGGACGAAGGCCUGUGGGUUGUAAACCUCUUUUCUCAGGGGAAGAAGCUCUGACGGUACCUGAGGAAUCAGCAUCGGCUAACUCCGUGCCAGCAGCCGCGGUAAU